rnacentral:rRNA from 1 species
CCUACGGGAGGCAGCAGUGGGGAAUAUUGCACAAUGGGGGAAACCCUGAUGCAGCGACGCCGCGUGAGUGAAGAAGUAUUUCGGUAUGUAAAGCUCUAUCAGCAGGGAAGAAAAUGACGGUACCUGACUAAGAAGCCCCGGCUAACUACGUUCCAGCAGCCGCGGUAAUACGUGGGGGGCAAGCGUUAUCCGGAUUUACUGGGUUUAAAGGGUGCGCAGGCGGAGGUGCAAGUCAGCGGUCAAAUUGCGGGGCGCAACCCCGUACUGCAGUUGAAACUGCAUCCCUUGAGUUCGCGAGAAGUAUGCGGAAUGCGUGGUGUAGCGGUGAAAUGCAUAGAUAUCACGAAGAACUCCGAUUGCGAAGGCAGCAUACCGGAGCGCAACUGACGCUCAUGCACGAAAGCGUGGGUAUCGAACAGGAUUAGAUACCCGGGUAGUC